UGGGGUGUCGCCAAGCGGUAAGGCACCAUACUUUGACUCUGGCAAUCGAAGGUUCGAACCUUCCAACCCAU
rnacentral:tRNA from 1 species